UUGCACGCUGGCGGCAUGCCUUACACAUGCAAGUCGAACGGUAACAGGUCUUCGGAUGCUUACGAGUGGCGAACGGGUGAGUAAUACAUCGGAACGUGCCCGAUCGUGGGGGAUAACGAGGCGAAAGCUUUGCUAAUACCGCAUACGAUCUACGGAUGAAAGCGGGGGAUCUUCGGACCUCGCGCGGACGGAGCGGCCGAUGGCAGAUUAGGUAGUUGGUGGGAUAAAAGCUUACCAAGCCGACGAUCUGUAGCUGGUCUGAGAGGAUGAUCAGCCACACUGGGACUGAGACACGGCCCAGACUCCUACGGGAGGCAGCAGUGGGGAAUUUUGGACAAUGGGCGAAAGCCUGAUCCAGCCAUGCCGCGUGCAGGAUGAAGGCCUUCGGGUUGUAAACUGCUUUUGUACGGAACGAAAAGCCUCUUUCUAAUAAAGAGGGGUCAUGACGGUACCGUAAGAAUAAGCACCGGCUAACUACGUG
rnacentral:rRNA from 1 species